AAAGCACGCAGUGAGUGAGUGCCCAAAAUGGCUUUCUCUAGAGCCUCUCAGGUCUUACUGGUUCUCACUUUUGUAGCCAUCAUGCUUCUCUUCUCUUCCAACGUUGCUAUCGCUAGUAGUCUCCAUGUCCUCGGAAGGAGGAUGCUCCAAAACGGCAACGGCAAUGGUGGACAUACCUACCUUCCUGACCCUGGGGGAGACUAUCACCCUCCUAACCCAUAAACAGAACUUCUAGUAGAUGGAGAAAUCUGGUUUACAUACAAUAUCUACAUGUAUUUUAUCAGUUAUAUAUAUGAGAAAUUUCUGCUGAUUAUUGUGCAAUAAAAACCUUGUUAUUUUACACCCUUUAUGCUUUAUUUAUAUAGUGAAGUAUUGGUACAUGUGUUAAA